GAUGAACGCUAGCUACAGGCUUAACACAUGCAAGUCGAGGGGAAACGACAUCGAAAGCUUGCUUUUGAUGGGCGUCGACCGGCGCACGGGUGAGUAACGCGUAUCCAACCUGCCCACCACUUGGGGAUAACCUUGCGAAAGUAAGACUAAUACCCAAUGACGUCUCUAGAAGACAUCUGAAAGGGAUUAAAGAUUUAUCGGUGAUGGAUGGGGAUGCGUCUGAUUAGCUUGUUGGCGGGGUAACGGCCCACCAAGGCAACGAUCAGUAGGGGUUCUGAGAGGAAGGUCCCCCACAUUGGAGCUGAGACACGGUCCAAACUCCUACGGGAGGCAGCAGUGAGGAAUAUUGGUCAAUGGGCGAGAGCCUGAACCAGCCAAGUAGCGUGCGGGACGACGGCCCUAUGGGUUGUAAACCGCUUUUGAUUGGGAACAAAGAGCGCCACGUGUGGUGCGUUGCGUGUACCUUUCGAAUAAGCAUCGGCUAAUUCCGUG
rnacentral:rRNA from 1 species